ensembl:lncRNA
GCAGAUGUUGACUUUCACUUUCAGAUGUUCCCCACUUUCAACGCAGGCGUCCUGUUUAGUCUGCUUUGACACUGAAGGGGACGUGGCCAAGUUUGAAAUCCAGCGUAUGUGAGCAGGGAGUGGUUGUGUGUGAAGAACAGAGCAAAACCCCCAACGGAAGUCAGGCUUCGUUCCAUUCUCAAAAGACAACAACACAAACACCAAAGACACAAAGACACAAGGUAAGGCAAGCUGUUCAUAUGUGCAGUUGCUCUUAUUAAGCAUUUAGUAAGCUACUAUCAGCAGGCCUUAGUUCUUCAUGAAGUAUGCAGUUGAACUUGAACUGGCAGAUGAGAAGGAGCUGAUGCAGAAAGAUUUAAAAUGGUGUUGAUAGAUAAAGGGUUCAUAAAGUAAUGGAAAAAAACCUGGGGAAAAACCCUGGAAUUUUAAAAUAGCAAUUUCGAGGCCGGAUGAAGUUUUGGAUAAAUAAAUAGGACCAGAAAGUUUUGGAAAAGUAAUGAAAAUGUGCUUCACAAAUACCUUUAUAUUUCAUAGGCCUAUAUGUGGUUCAGUUAAAAUCGACUGAAAAUAAAUCUAUAUUGGUUAAACAAUUCUUAUAUAUUCGGGGACCUUGACAUGAACGUAGACAUUUGCCUGACAUUCACCUUAUAGCUGGUUAUCUUUCUUAGUAAAUGAAGUUCUUAAAUGCAGAUUGAUUACAACAAAGGCACAUUGUUAGUCCACCGUUCAUCUUGCAUGGAGAUUUCAGAAUAAGUCCCUGGACCGUUCAAGCGUACUGAAGGGUAAUUUGUGUAUUGUACGUAAAAUAUGGGUUAAGUUUAAGGGCAGGUAUGGUUAACAUUUAAAAACAUAUUCAUAUUUUAAGUUCACUUUUCUUUAAAAAAGGGAUUGCUUGUCACGUUACGCGAAAUUAUCGGACGAGGCGGAGGCAAAGAAGUUUAAAAAAGAAAGCAGCCUGUUUAGAUCCUAGUAGCCUACUACUUUAUGUAGUCACAGACAAUGACAACGUUGCUUAAUUUGCUUGAUUACAGUUGAUUCCACUUUUGCUAAGCCCGAAACUUUUAGCUUGACAGCAGUUUCUGAUUCUAUGCUCGCUGGUUCUACAGAUGUUAGAUAACCACCUAAUUCAUCGCGAACACCGCUUGGCAAAAUGAGAGAAUAGGCUACGUUUAUUUUGUCCCUUUCGUUUGAACACCCACUCAAGAAGCCUCGAUAUAUGGGCAGCUUUUGAAUCAACUGUUAUUUACUAUGGUGGUUAUUGUUACUUUUCAAAGUUUCCAGAGCAUUGCGUUCCGUUCUGCAUUAUACACUACUCCCCGUGUCCUGUUUAGGGAGUGUUGGUUAAGGGAACCUCUGUGGGCGUGACUUUACGGGUUUACGGGGUUCCGAUGUGCCUGGGACGGGUAUCCAAUCUCUACAAUCCACGCUAA